GGGCCCCAAGACUAAAUGGCGAAUUGGUGAGUAACGCGUUGGUGAUCUGCCUCGAAGUGUGGAAUAACGUUCCGAAAGGAACGCUAAUACCGCAUGUGCUCUCGAUUUUUAGAAAGUUGAGAGUAAAGGAUUUAUUCGCUUCGAGAGGAGCCUGCGUCCCAUCAGCUGGUUGGUAGGGUAACGGCCUACCAAGGCUAUGACGGGUAGGGGACCUGAGAGGGUGGCCCCCCACAAUGGAACUGAAACACGGUCCAUACACCUACGGGUGGCAGCAGUAGGGAAUAUUAGAAAUGGACGAAAGUCUGAUCUAGCAACACCGCGUGUGCGAAGAAGCCUUCGGGUCGUAAAGCACUUU
rnacentral:rRNA from 1 species